rnacentral:rRNA from 1 species
UGGGGAAUAUUGCACAAUGGAGGGAACUCUGAUGCAGCGACGCCGCGUGAGUGAUGAAGGACUUCGUUUCGUAAAACUCUGUUCUAUGGGAAGAAAAGGACUGUACCAUAGGAGAAAGCUCCGGCUAAAUACGUGCCAGCAGCCGCGGUAAUACGUAUGGAGCGAGCGUUGUCCGGAAUUAUUGGGCGUAAAGGGUGCGCAGGCGGCUUUACAAGUUGGAUGUGAAAUAUUGUGGCUCAACCACAAACGUGCAUCCAAAACUGCAAAGCUUGAGUUAAGGAGAGGGAAGUGGAAUUCCUGGUGUAGCGGUGGAAUGCGAAGAUAUCAGGAGGAAUACCGGUGGCGAAGGCGACUUACUGGACUUAAACUGACGCUCAGGCACGAAAGCGUGGGGAGCAAACAGG